CGUAAGGUGGUGUACGAAUAAGGGCUGGGCAAGACCGGUGCCAGCCGCCGCGGUAAUACCGGCAGCCCGAGUGAUGGCCGAAAUUAUUGGGCCUAAAGCGUUCGUAGCUGGCCGGACAAGUCCGUUGGGAAAUCCGCGCGCUUAACGCGCGGGCGUCCAGCGGAAACUGUUCGGCUUGGGACCGGAAGACCUGAGGGGUACGUCCGGGGUAGGAGUGAAAUCCUGUAAUCCUGGACGGACCACCGGUGGCGAAAGCGCCUCAGGAGGACGGAUCCGACAGUGAGGAACGAAAGCUAGGGUCUCGAACCGGAUUAGAUACCCGGGUAGUCCUAGCUGUAAACGAUGCCCGCUAGGUGUGGCGCAGGCUACGGGCCUGCGCUGUGCCGUAGGGAAGCCGAGAAGCGGGCCGCCUGGGAAGUACGUCUGCAAGGAUGAAACUUAAAGGAAUUGGCGGGGGAGCACUACAACCGGAGGAGCCUGCGGUUUAAUUGGACUCAACGCCGGACAUCUCACCAGCUCCGACAGUAGUAAUGACGGUCAGGUUGAUGACCUUACCCGACGCUACUGAGAGGAGGUGCAUGGCCGCCGUCAGCUCGUACCGUGAGGCGUCCUGUUAAGUCAGGCAACGAGCGAGACCCGCACUCCUAAUUGCCAGCAGUACCCUUUGGGUAGCUGGGUACAUUAGGGGGACUGCCGCUGCCAAAGCGGAGGAAGGAACGGGCAACGGUAGGUCAGUAUGCCCCGAAUGAGCUGGGCAACACGCGGGCUACAAUGGUCGAGACAAUGGGAUGCAACUCCGAGAGGAGGCGCUAAUCUCCGAAACUCGAUCGUAGUUCGGAUUGAGGGCUGAAACUCGCCCUCAUGAAGCUGGAUUCGGUAGUAAUCGCGUGUCAGAAGCGCGCGGUGAAUACGUCCCUGCUCCUUGCACACACCGCCCGUCAAAGCACCCGAGUGGGGUUCGGAUGAGGCCGGCAUGCGCCGGUCGAUC
rnacentral:rRNA from 1 species